CCUACGGGUGGCAGCAGUAGGGAAUCUUCCACAAUGGGCGAAAGCCUGAUGGAGCAACGCCGCGUGGGUGAAGAAGGUCUUCGGAUCGUAAAACCCUGUUGUUAGAGAAGAAAGUGCGUGAGAGUAACUGUUCACGUUUCGACGUUAUCUAACCAGAAAGCCACGGCUAACUACGUGCCAGCAGCCGCGGUAAUACGGAGGUGGCAAGCGUUAUCCGGGUUUAUUGGGCGUAAAGGGAACGCAGGCGGGCUUUUAAGUCGGAUGUGAAAGCCUUUGGCUUAACUGGAGUAGUGCAUUUGAAACUGUGAGACUUGAGUGUAGAAGAGGUGAGUGGAAUUCUAGGUGUAGCGGUGAAAUGCGUAGAUAUAUGGAAGAAUACUAGUUGCGAAAGCGGCCCUCUGGUCUGUAACUGACGCUGAGGCUCGAAAGCGUGGGUAGCAAACAGGAUUAGAUACCCUAGUAGUC
rnacentral:rRNA from 1 species